CCUGUCUUAUCAGCAGCGGCAUUAGACUCGCACAGGAGCACAAACCCUAUCGUGAACUGUGCAUACAAGGGAUCCAGGUUGCACGCUCCUUAUAAGACUCUAAUGCCUGAUGAUCUGAGGUAGGACAGUUGCAUCCCGAAAUGAUCUCUCCUCCCCUCCUGCUCCCUAUCUGUGGAAAAACUGUCGUCCAUGAAAUUGGUCCCUCUUGCCAAAAAGAUUGGGGACUGCUGCUCUAGACUGUGAUACUUUGUCUGACUUUCCUUGUUUUGAUGAUCUUGACGGUUUUGCGAAGUCUUAGACUCCCCAACAAGUGCACAAAGAAGAGAUCAUGUGAGCACACGGGGAUAUUGCAGCUACCUCCAUGCCAAGAAAAGAGGCUUCAGAGUAAAAUUUACCUCGCCAGCACCUUGAUCUUGGACUUCCCAGCCUCCGGACCAUGAGAAACAAAGUUGUGUUGUUUACGCCCUCAAGUCUAUGGUAUUUUGUCAUGGCAGCCUCAGCUGACUGAGACACACCUCCCCAAUUGCUUCACUUUCUGAGGACUUCCUUACUUUCUGGCACUGCAAGAUGUUCCAGGCUCACCUUGUAUAUUUCCUGCCCCAGCCCUAGAAUCAGCCACUUCUGUAAGGAGCCGGCUCCUGUUAUUGGAGAAUAGUAUUGGAAACCAACAACAGGCUCCUAGGUAGCAAAUUAUUCUUGGAUGGACACACUAGAAAACAGUUAUUUUGUGCCUCCUAUGUGCCAGGCACUAUGCUAGCUCCUUUUCAUGUUGGUUUACUUAAUCCUCAUAACAAUUCUAUGAAAUAUUUACUGUCAAUCCUCCCCAGAUGAGGACUGGAGGUGUAGCUGGGUUGAGUGCUAGCCAACACCACUCUGUUCUGUCUCCAAAGCCCA
rnacentral:lncRNA from 1 species